CCCUACGGGUGGCAGCAGUGGGGAAUAUUGGACAAUGGGCGAAAGCCUGAUCCAGCCAUGCCGCGUGUGUGAAGAAGGCCUUCGGGUUGUAAAGCACUUUCAGUGGGGAAGAAAGCCUUGGGGCUAAUACCCUCGAGGAAGGACAUCACCCACAGAAGAAGCACCGGCUAACUCCGUGCCAGCAGCCGCGGUAAUACGGAGGGUGCGAGCGUUAAUCGGAAUUACUGGGCGUAAAGCGCGCGUAGGCGGUCUGAUAAGCCGGUUGUGAAAGCCCCGGGCUCAACCUGGGAACGGCAUCCGGAACUGUCAGGCUAGAGUGCAGGAGAGGAAGGUAGAAUUCCCGGUGUAGCGGUGAAAUGCGUAGAGAUCGGGAGGAAUACCAGUGGCGAAGGCGGCCUUCUGGACUGACACUGACGCUGAGGUGCGAAAGCGUGGGUAGCAAACAGGAUUAGAUACCCUAGUAGUC
rnacentral:rRNA from 1 species